CUCACCUAUUGGUUUGUUUCGGUUAAAUCUGUGGACCAAUCGGAGCAUGUUAUGAUUUCGUGGUUGCUCAUUGGUUGGUGCUACACAAAUCUACAAACCAAUGGGAGCCGGGUUUGUAGGAUAUAAGAAUCCUAGUGGUGUAGCACCUGGAAACGUUGUCAUUUACGUCAUGCCCUGUAUGGAAGCGCUCUUUAUGAAUGAGCGGAGGGCGGCUGCGCGUCAUUCAUUACCCUUGGCUUUGCGUGUUGUUGUUAAUGAGCGGAUCGGCUUUUAGCUGGUUCCCAGAUGGCUGUGUGUUGCAGUAUUCGCAGCAGCUACAGUUUGCUGCACAUUCAAUCUGGUAAUACCUCUUUGAUUGACCGGGCAUGACGGUUUCAUUAACCCCUCGAUAAAUGUAAGUUCCGUUUCGGAUGAGACUACAUUGCUGCUUUGCCUGGAGUUCGUUUCUUUCGUUUGUGUGUGUGGAUUCGUCUGGUGGCACAACCUCACCAUUUAUUGGACUGCAUCCAUUCAGGGGUUCGGGCUGGGAGGUGUAUAACCUGAAUUCAGCUGUGCCCAUAACGUGUAUUGGUAUGCAGGAGUGGUUGUCGGUGUGACGUAUCGACCAGUGUUAGUUAUUUUUUUGUUAUUGUUUUGAGUUAUUUAAUUUAGUGUUGUAUGUAUUCACCUCUAUAAAGUGGGAGAUUGCGCCGGAACUUGUGUACACUAUUUGCUAUUUUCUAUUUUCACGAGUGUAUUUUUAUAUAGUGUGGGGUGACCUCUUGACUUCCUGAAGGCGAGCUCCCCUUAUUGAUGUGAUUUUUGUUUCUUUUGUUUACUGUCAUACAUGUUUUCUAUUUAUUAUAAUAAAGAAAUUAUAUUUUUCAUAA